UGAGGAAUAUUGGGCAAUGCCCGCAAGGGUGACCCAGCAACGCCGCGUGGAGGAUGAAUGUCGUAAGAUUGUAAACUCCUGUUAGAGGGGAAGAAUAGUACCGGUUGGACCGGUAUAUGACUGUACCCUCAGAGAAAGCCCCGGCUAACUACGUGCCAGCAGCCGCGGUAAUACGUAGGGGGCAAGCGUUGUCCGGAUUUACUGGGUGUAAAGGGCGCGAAGGCGGGAUAAAAAGUCAGUGGUGAAAUCCUACAGCUUAACUGUAGAACUGCCUUUGAUACUUUUAUUCUUGAGUUCGGGAGAGAGAGACGGAAUUCCAGGUGUAGUGGUGAAAUACGUAGAUAUCUGGAAGAACACCAGUUGCUAAGGCGGUCUCUUGGUCCGACACUGACGCUGAGGCGCGAAAGCGUGGGGAGCAAACA
rnacentral:rRNA from 1 species